GGGUUGUGAGGUUAAGCGACUAAGCGUACACGGUGGAUGCCCUGGCAGUCAGAGGCGAUGAAGGACGUGCUAAUCUGCGAAAAGCGUCGGUAAGGUGAUAUGAACCGUUAUAGCCGGCGAUGUCCGAAUGGGGAAACCCAGUGUGAUUCGUCACACUAUCGUUAACUGAAUACAUAGGUUAACGAGGCGAACCGGGGGAACUGAAACAUCUAAGUACCCCGAGGAAAAGAAAUCAACCGAGAUUCCCCCAGUAGCGGCGAGCGAACGGGGAGCAGCCCAGAGUCUGAAUCAGCUUGUGUGUUAGUGGAACGGUCUGGAAAGUCCGACGGUACAGGGUGAUAGUCCCGUACACCAAAAUGCACAGGCUGUGAACUCGAAGAGUAGGGCGGGACACGUGGUAUCCUGUCUGAAUAUGGGGGGACCAUCCUCCAAGGCUAAAUACUCCUGACUGACCGAUAGUGAACCAGUACCGUGAGGGAAAGGCGAAAAGAACCCCGGCGAGGGGAGUGAAAAAGAACCUGAAACCGUGUACGUACAAGCAGUGGGAGCACCUUUAUGGUGUGACUGCGUACCUUUUGUAUAAUGGGUCAGCGACUUAUAUUCUGUAGCAAGGUUAACCGUAUAGGGGAGCCGCAGGGAAACCGAGUCUUAACUGGGCGUUAAGUUGCAGGGUAUAGACCCGAAACCCGGUGAUCUAGCCAUGGGCAGGUUGAAGGUUGGGUAACACUAACUGGAGGACCGAACCGACUAAUGUUGAAAAAUUAGCGGAUGACUUGUGGCUGGGGGUGAAAGGCCAAUCAAACCGGGAGAUAGCUGGUUCUCCCCGAAAGCUAUUUAGGUAGCGCCUCGUGAACUCAUCUUCGGGGGUAGAGCACUGUUUCGGCUAGGGGGUCAUCCCGACUUACCAACCCGAUGCAAACUACGAAUACCGAAGAAUGUUAUCACGGGAGACACACGGCGGGUGCUAACGUCCGUCGUGAAGAGGGAAACAACCCAGACCGCCAGCUAAGGUCCCAAAGUCAUGGUUAAGUGGGAAACGAUGUGGGAAGGCACAGACAGCCAGGAUGUUGGCUUAGAAGCAGCCAUCAUUUAAAGAAAGCGUAAUAGCUCACUGGUCGAGUCGGCCUGCGCGGAAGAUGUAACGGGGCUAAACCAUGCACCGAAGCUGCGGCAGCGACACUAUGUGUUGUUGGGUAGGGGAGCGUUCUGUAAGCCUGCGAAGGUGACCUGUGAGGGUUGCUGGAGGUAUCAGAAGUGCGAAUGCUGACAUAAGUAACGAUAAAGCGGGUGAAAAGCCCGCUCGCCGGAAGACCAAGGGUUCCUGUCCAACGUUAAUCGGGGCAGGGUGAGUCGACCCCUAAGGCGAGGCCGAAAGGCGUAGUCGAUGGGAAACAGGUUAAUAUUCCUGUACUUGGUGUUACUGCGAAGGGGGGACGGAGAAGGCUAUGUUAGCCGGGCGACGGUUGUCCCGGUUUAAGCAUGUAGGCUGGUUAUCCAGGCAAAUCCGGAUAAUCAAGGCUGAGGUGUGAUGACGAGGCACUACGGUGCUGAAGUAACAAAUGCCCUGCUUCCAGGAAAAGCCUCUAAGCAUCAGGUAACACGAAAUCGUACCCCAAACCGACACAGGUGGUCAGGUAGAGAAUACCAAGGCGCUUGAGAGAACUCGGGUGAAGGAACUAGGCAAAAUGGUGCCGUAACUUCGGGAGAAGGCACGCUGGUGUGUAGGUGAAGUCCCUGCGGAUGGAGCUGAGACCAGUCGAAGAUACCAGCUGGCUGCAACUGUUUAUUAAAAACACAGCACUGUGCAAACACGAAAGUGGACGUAUACGGUGUGACGCCUGCCCGGUGCCGGAAGGUUAAUUGAUGGGGUUAUCCGUAAGGAGAAGCUCUUGAUCGAAGCCCCGGUAAACGGCGGCCGUAACUAUAACGGUCCUAAGGUAGCGAAAUUCCUUGUCGGGUAAGUUCCGACCUGCACGAAUGGCGUAAUGAUGGCCAGGCUGUCUCCACCCGAGACUCAGUGAAAUUGAACUCGCUGUGAAGAUGCAGUGUACCCGCGGCAAGACGGAAAGACCCCGUGAACCUUUACUAUAGCUUGACACUGAACAUUGAGCCUUGAUGUGUAGGAUAGGUGGGAGGCUUUGAAGCGUGGACGCCAGUCUGCGUGGAGCCAACCUUGAAAUACCACCCUUUAAUGUUUGAUGUUCUAACGUUGGCCCCUUAUCGGGGUUGCGGACAGUGUCUGGUGGGUAGUUUGACUGGGGCGGUCUCCUCCCAAAGCGUAACGGAGGAGCACGAAGGUUAGCUAAUCCUGGUCGGACAUCAGGAGGUUAGUGCAAUGGCAUAAGCUAGCUUGACUGCGAGCGUGACGGCGCGAGCAGGUGCGAAAGCAGGUCAUAGUGAUCCGGUGGUUCUGAAUGGAAGGGCCAUCGCUCAACGGAUAAAAGGUACUCCGGGGAUAACAGGCUGAUACCGCCCAAGAGUUCAUAUCGACGGCGGUGUUUGGCACCUCGAUGUCGGCUCAUCACAUCCUGGGGCUGAAGUAGGUCCCAAGGGUAUGGCUGUUCGCCAUUUAAAGUGGUACGCGAGCUGGGUUUAGAACGUCGUGAGACAGUUCGGUCCCUAUCUGCCGUGGGCGCUGGAGAAUUGAGGGGGGCUGCUCCUAGUACGAGAGGACCGGAGUGGACGCAUCACUGGUGUUCGGGUUGUCAUGCCAAUGGCACUGCCCGGUAGCUAAAUGCGGAAGAGAUAAGUGCUGAAAGCAUCUAAGCACGAAACUUGCCCCGAGAUGAGUUCUCCCUGAGACUAUAAGUCUCCUGAAGGAACGUUGAAGACGACGACGUUGAUAGGCCGGGUGUGUAAGCGCAGCGAUGCGUUGAGCUAACCGGUACUAAUGAACCGUGAGGCUUAACCUUACAACGCCGAAG
rnacentral:rRNA from 1 species